GGGUUUGUAGCUCAGCUGGUUAGAGCACACGCUUGAUAAGCGCGGGGUCGGAGGUUCAAGUCCUCCUAGACCCACCA
rnacentral:tRNA from 1 species